UUCACCGCCAAGCAUUUUGAAGACAUCCAACUUCCAUUUUUUUUUCCUUCUUCAAUUUACAGAGAACAUCUAAGAGAGAGUUUGGAAGAAGAAGAGGAAUUUUACUAGAAUUUUGAGGUUGAAGAAGAGAAGGAGAAAUCAAGCAAAGUAUAUCCAUGGCUGAAUCUUGGUUCAUUCUGCACAUCACUGGUUUUUAAUUCGGUUUGAACUCUUCAAAAAGAAUUAAGAGGGCAGUUAGUUUUUACUCGAAGUCAGAAGGUCUCUGGUGUUUCUUGAAUUUCAGAGUGUACCGGUGGAGUUAGGAUCUCUAUUUAGUAUGGGACAAGUUAAAUAGAUCGUGUGCGCGCGAUUCUGGAAGUGGUUCUGUUUCGAGGGUUAUCUGAGUUUACGCACGGGGAAUCAGAUUUACAUGUCUUCAGGCCGAGAAGAAUUAAACCGAGCUUAUUGACCAAGGAUCUAACCCAAGACGGUAGAGAUCGAGUUUCCGGUGCCUGAUAAACUUAUUUAGUCUGCUGAAGCUCUGUUAUCGAUUACAAGUACGUGUUUUGAGUUGGGCAUAAAGUCUGUUGUGUUAUGAUGUAUAUACACCCCUAUAUGUUAUAGAUACUCCACAGUUUGUAUAAGCUUUAGGAGCUGUAGUUGUGUAAAUUUUUGUUGGUUAUAUUUUGAUUAAGGUGUCUUUAGGUUUACCCGUGAAAUCAGUAAAUUUUGAGGUACACUUCAUGUAUGUGUUUUGAUUAGCCUAGGAUCCGCUGUGUUUUGUUGCAUGUAUAAUAGUUUAUAUACUAGAUUGGCAAGUUCAUCACAUGAAAGUUUUAAGCAGAGUCGACAGAUACAGGUAUAGAAAAGCGUUGUUCGUCGGCUUCACACCAUCUUUCGAUUUAAGGUAGCAGGUAGUCCGAGAGGGGGUGUGACAAUUUAGAAAGUGGGCCGCAUCCAUAGUAUCUCUUAAUAAAGCGCCCAACCUUUAAUCUUA